rnacentral:tRNA from 1 species
GGUCAUGGCUCAGUGGUAGAAUGCUCACCUCACAUGUGGAAGGCUCUGGGUUCGAUCCUCAGCACCA